rnacentral:rRNA from 1 species
UACAGGGGGUGCAAACGUUGCUCGGAAUCAUUGGGCGUAAAGCGCACGUAGGCGGUUCGUUAUGUCGGAUGUGAAAGCCCUUGGCUUAACCGAGGAAGUGCAUCCGAAACUGGCGAGCUAGAGUACGAAAGAGGAUCGCGGAAUUCCCGGUGUAGAGGUGAAAUUCGUAGAUAUCGGGAGGAACACCGGUGGCGAAGGCGGGUCUCUGGGCGAGUAACUGACGCUGAGGAGCGAAAGCGUGGGGAGCGAAACAGGAUUGAG